rnacentral:SRP_RNA from 1 species
GGCCCGGACCCUGUGCGAUCCGAGCCUGCGAACCGCGUCAGGGCCGGAAGGCAGCAGCGCUAAGCAGUGUCUCCGAUGCGCCGCAGGCAAUCCGGGCUGCG